rnacentral:rRNA from 1 species
GACGAACGCUGGCGGCGUGCUUAACACAUGCAAGUCGAACGGAAAGGCCCUGCUUUUGUGGGGUGCUCGAGUGGCGAACGGGUGAGUAACACGUGAGUAACCUGCCCUUGACUUUGGAUAACUUCAGGAAACUGGGGCUAAUACCGGAAAGGAGCCCCUGCUGCAUGGGGGGGGGUGGAAAGUUUCGGCGGUUGGGGAUGGACUCGCGGCUUAUCAGCUUGUUGGUGGGGUAGUGGCUUACCAAGGCUUUGAGGGGUAGCCGGCCUGAGAGGGUGACCGGCCACAUUGGGACUGCGAUACGGCCCAGACUCCUACGGGAGGCAGCAGUGGGGAAUAUUGCACAAUGGGCGGAAGCCUGAUGCAGCAACGCCGCGUGCGGGAUGACGGCCUUCGGGUUGUAAACCGCUUUCGCCUGUGACGAAGCGUGAGUGACGGUAAUGGGUAAAGAAGCACCGGAUAACUACGUG